UAGAAUGCUUGGUUACUAUUUGUGGUGUUUAUCUCCUUUUAUUGUAGUUGAGUAGCAUUUCUCUUGUAGGCACAGAAAAUGGGUAAUAACUGAAGACAACCUCACAGCAGGACAGUGAGAUCAGAUUGGCAAUGCAUCAGUGAGUGGCAUGAUUGAAGACAAGACAAAAAGCAGCCUACAGCAAAAGAACACACAAGCCCUGGCAAACCAGACAGGUGCCCUGUAAAGAAGAUUUCAUACCACUGCCAUACACUUAAUACGGUCCAGAAAUAUUUUUCAUAUGCUAAGACUACAACUUCAGCUGUUGGAUACAUAAAUUUUGUCAGUAACUGGAAAGGUGCAAACUUCAUAUUUUCUCCCUGAAACUAGG
rnacentral:lncRNA from 1 species